GUGGGGAAUAUUGGACAAUGGGCGAAAGCCUGAUCCAGCCAUGCCGCGUGUGUGAAGAAGGUCUUCGGAUUGUAAAGCACUUUAAGUUGGGAGGAAGGGCAGUAAGUUAAUACCUUGCUGUUUUGACGUUACCGACAGAAUAAGCACCGGCUAACUUCGUGCCAGCAGCCGCGGUAAUACGAAGGGUGCAAGCGUUAAUCGGAAUUACUGGGCGUAAAGCGCGCGUAGGUGGUUUUGUAAGUUGGAGGUGAAAUCCCCGGGCUCAACCUGGGAACUGCCACCAAAACUGCAUGACUAGAGUACGGUAGAGGGUAGUGGAAUUUCCUGUGUAGCGGUGAAAUACGUAGAUAUAGGAAGGAACACCAGUGGCGAAGGCGACUACCUGGACUGAUACUGACACUGAGGUGCGAAAGCGUGGGGAGCAAACAGGAUUAGAUACCCGUGUAGUCC
rnacentral:rRNA from 1 species